rnacentral:rRNA from 1 species
GAGACUGCCGGUGUUAAGCCGGAGGAAGGUGGGGAUGACGUCAAGUCCUCAUGGCCCUUAUAGUGGGGCUACACACGUCAUACAAUGGCUGGUACAAAGGGUUGCCAACCCGCGAGGGGGAGCCAAUCCCAUAAAGCCAGUCGUAGUCCGGAUCGUAGUCUGCAACUCGACUACGUGAAGUCGGAAUCGCUAGUAAUCGUGGAUCAGAAUGUCACGGUGAAUACGUUCCCGGGUCUU